GACGAAUGCUGGCGGCGCGCCUAACACAUGCAAGUCGAACGAGCGAGAGAGAGCUUGCUUUCUCGAGCGAGUGGCGAACGGGUGAGUAACGCGUGAGGAACCUGCCUCAAAGAGGGGGACAACAGUUGGAAACGACUGCUAAUACCGCAUAAGCCCACGGCUCGGCAUCGAGCAGAGGGAAAAGGAGCAAUCCGCUUUGAGAUGGCCUCGCGUCCGAUUAGCUAGUUGGUGAGGUAACGGCCCACCAAGGCGACGAUCGGUAGCCGGACUGAGAGGUUGAACGGCCACAUUGGGACUGAGACACGGCCCAGACUCCUACGGGAGGCAGCAGUGGGGAAUAUUGCACAAUGGGGGAAACCCUGAUGCAGCGACGCCGCGUGGAGGAAGAAGGUCUUCGGAUUGUAAACUCCUGUUGUUGGGGAAGAUAAUGACGGUACCCAACAAGGAAGUGACGGCUAACUACGUGCCAGCAGCCGCGGUAAAACGUAGGUCACAAGCGUUGUCCGGAAUUACUGGGUGUAAAGGGAGCGCAGGCGGGAAGACAAGUUGGAAGUGAAAUCUAUGGGCUCAACCCAUAAACUGCUUUCAAAACUGUUUUUCUUGAGUAGUGCAGAGGUAGGCGGAAUUCCCGGUGUAGCGGUGGAAUGCGUAGAUAUCGGGAGGAACACCAGUGGCGAAGGCGGCCUACUGGGCACCAACUGACGCUGAGGCUCGAAAGUGUGGGUAGCAAACAGGAUUAGAUACCCUGGUAGUCCACACCGUAAACGAUGAUUACUAGGUGUUGGAGGAUUGACCCCUUCAGUGCCGCAGUUAACACAAUAAGUAAUCCACCUGGGGAGUACGACCGCAAGGUUGAAACUCAAAGGAAUUGACGGGGGCCCGCACAAGCAGUGGAGUAUGUGGUUUAAUUCGACGCAACGCGAAGAACCUUACCAAGUCUUGACAUCCCUUGACAGGCAUAGAAAUAUGUUUUCUCUUCGGAGCAAGGAGACAGGUGGUGCAUGGUUGUCGUCAGCUCGUGUCGUGAGAUGUUGGGUUAAGUCCCGCAACGAGCGCAACCCUUAUGGUCAGUUACUACGCAAGAGGACUCUGGCCAGACUGCCGUUGACAAAACGGAGGAAGGUGGGGAUGACGUCAAAUCAUCAUGCCCUUUAUGACUUGGGCUACACACGUACUACAAUGGCGUUAAACAAAGAGAAGCAAGACCGCGAGGUGGAGCAAAACUCAGAAACAACGUCCCAGUUCGGACUGCAGGCUGCAACUCGCCUGCACGAAGUCGGAAUUGCUAGUAAUCGUGGAUCAGCAUGCCACGGUGAAUACGUUCCCGGGCCU
rnacentral:rRNA from 1 species